rnacentral:rRNA from 1 species
UACGGAGGGGGCUAGCGUUGUUCGGAAUUACUGGGCGUAAAGCGCGCGUAGGCGGCUUUGUAAGUUAGAGGUGAAAGCCCGGAGCUCAACUCCGGAACUGCCUUUAAGACUGCAUCGCUAGAAUUGUGGAGAGGUGAGUGGAAUUCCGAGUGUAGAGGUGAAAUUCGUAGAUAUUCGGAAGAACACCAGUGGCGAAGGCGACUCUUUGGCCUGUAACUGACGCUGAGGCGCGAAAGCGUGGGGAGCAAACAGGG